GACGCACCGUGCGAACGUUGUUCGGAUUCACUGGGCUUAAAGGGCGCGUAGGCGGGCGGUCAAGUCAGGGGUGAAAUCUUUCGGCUCAACCGGAAAAGUGCCUUUGAUACUGUCCGUCUCGAGGGAGGUAGGGGCAUGCGGAACUUCCGGUGGAGCGGUGAAAUGCGUAGAUAUCGGAAGGAACGCCGGUGGCGAAAGCGGCGUGCUGGACCUCUUCUGACGCUGAGGCGCGAAAGCCAGGGGAGCAAACGGG
rnacentral:rRNA from 1 species